GGGGUUGUGGCUCAGCAGGAGAGCACUCACCUAGCGCGUGCAAGGCCCUGGGUUCGAUCCUCAGCACCACA
rnacentral:tRNA from 1 species